rnacentral:tRNA from 1 species
GCGGGGUUAGUACAAUGGUAGUAUAUUGCCCUUCCAAGGCAAGGACGCCGGUUCGAAUCCGGUACCCCGCU